rnacentral:SRP_RNA from 1 species
GUCUUCGCGCGGCACGUCUGCGCGAAGUUCGCCAGGGCCGG